CUACGGGGGGCACCAGUGGGGAAUAUUGCACAGUGGAGGAAACUCUGAUGCAGCAACGCCGCGUGGAGGAUGACACUUUUCGGAACGUAAACUCCUUUUAUAUAGGAAGAAGAUGACGGUACUACAUGAAUAAGCGCCGGCUAACUCCGUGCCAGCAGCCGCGGUAAUACGGAGGGCGCAAGCGUUACUCGGAAUCACUGGGCGUAAAGAGCGUGUAGGCGGAUUAAAAAGUCAGAAGUGAAAUCCUAUAGCUUAACUAUAGAACUGCUUCUGAAACUCUUAAUCUAGAAUAUGGGAGAGGUAGAUGGAAUUUCUGGUGUAGGGGUAAAAUCCGUAGAGAUCAGAAGGAAUACCGAUUGCGAAGGCGAUCUACUAGAACAUUAUUGACGCUGAGACGCGAAAGCGUGGGGAGCAAACAGGAUUAGAUACCCUUGUAGUC
rnacentral:rRNA from 1 species